UGGGGAAUAUUGCACAAUGGGGGGAACCCUGAUGCAGCGACGCCGCGUGAGCGAAGAAGGUUUUCGAAUCGUAAAGCUCUGUCCUAUGGGAAGAUAAUGACGGUACCAUAGAAGAAAGCCCCGGCUAACUACGUGCCAGCAGCCGCGGUAAUACGUAGGGGGCGAGCGUUGUCCGGAAUCACUGGGCGUAAAGGGUUCGCAGGCGGCCAGACAAGUCAGUUGUAAAAGGCUAAGGCUCAACCUUAGUAAGCAUCUGAAACUGUUUGGCUUGAGUAGUGGAUAGGCAAGUGGAAUUCCUAGUGUAGCGGUGAAAUGCGUAGAUAUUAGGAGGAAUACCGGUGGCGAAGGCGACUUGCUGGACACAAACUGACGCUGAGGAACGAAAGCGUGGGGAGCAAACA
rnacentral:rRNA from 2 species